GAUGAACGCUGGCGGCGUGCCUAAUACAUGCAAGUCGAGCGAACAGACGAGGAGCUUGCUCCUCUGACGUUAGCGGCGGACGGGUGAGUAACACGUGGAUAACCUACCUAUAAGACUGGGAUAACUUCGGGAAACCGGAGCUAAUACCGUAUAAUAUAUUUAACCGCAUGGUUCAAUAGUUAAAGACGGUUUUGCUGUCACUUAUAGAUGUAUCCGCGCCGCAUUAGCUAGUUGGUAAGGUAACGGCUUACCAAGGCGACGAUGCGUAGCCGACCUGAGAGGGUGAUCGGCCACACUGGAACUGAGACACGGUCCAGACUCCUACGGGAGGCAGCAGUAGGGAAUCUUCCGCAAUGGGCGAAAGCCUGACGGAGCAACGCCGCGUGAGUGAUGAAGGUCUUAGGAUCGUAAAACUCUGUUAUUAGGGAAGAACAAAUGUGUAAGUAACUAUGCACGUCUUGACGGUACCUAAUCAGAAAGCCACGGCUAACUACGUG
rnacentral:rRNA from 1 species